rnacentral:rRNA from 1 species
UGGGGAAUCUUGGACAAUGGGGGCAACCCUGAUCCAGCCAUGCCGCGUGAGUGAUGAAGGCCUUAGGGUCGUAAAGCUCUUUCGCCUGUGAAGAUAAUGACGGUAGCAGGUAAAGAAACCCCGGCUAACUCCGUGCCAGCAGCCGCGGUAAUACGGAGGGGGUUAGCGUUGUUCGGAAUUACUGGGCGUAAAGCGCACGUAGGCGGAUCGGAAAGUUGGGGGUGAAAUCCCGGGGGCUCAACCCCGGAACUGCCUCCAAAACUAUCGGUCUAGAGUUCGAGAGAGGUGAGUGGAAUUCCGAGUGUAGAGGUGAAAUUCGUAGAUAUUCGGAGGAACACCAGUGGCGAAGGCGGCUCACUGGCUCGAUACUGACGCUGAGGUGCGAAAGUGUGGGGAGCAAACAGGAUUAGAUACCCUGGUAGUCCACACCGUAAACGAUGAAUGCCAGUCGUCGGAUAGCAUGCUAUUCGGUGACACACCUAACGGAUUAAGCAUUCCGCCUGGGGAGUACGGUCGCAAGAUUAAAACUCAAAUGAAUU